rnacentral:rRNA from 1 species
CCUGCGGAGGGAUCAUUACCGAGUUUACAACUCCCAAACCCCAAUGUGAACGUUACCAAUCUGUUGCCUCGGCGGGAUUCUCUUGCCCCGGGCGCGUCGCAGCCCCGGAUCCCAUGGCGCCCGCCGGAGGACCAACUCCAAACUCUUUUUUUCUCUCCGUCGCGGCUCCCGUCGCGGCUCUGUUUUAUUUUUGCUCUGAGCCUUUCUCGGCGACCCUAGCGGGCGUCUCGAAAAUGAAUCAAAACUUUCAACAACGGAUCUCUUGGUUCUGGCAUCGAUGAAGAACGCAGCGAAAUGCGAUAAGUAAUGUGAAUUGCAGAAUUCAGUGAAUCAUCGAAUCUUUGAACGCACAUUGCGCCCGCCAGUAUUCUGGCGGGCAUGCCUGUCCGAGCGUCAUUUCAACCCUCGAACCCCUCCGGGGGGUCGGCGUUGGGGAUCGGCCCCUCACCGGGCCGCCCCCGAAAUACAGUGGCGGUCUCGCCGCAGCCUCUCCUGCGCAGUAGUUUGCACACUCGCACCGGGAGCGCGGCGCGGCCACAGCCGUAAAACACCCCAAACUUCUGAAAUGUUGACCUCGGAUCAGGUAGGAAUACCCGCUGAACUUAAGCAUAUCAAUAAGCGGAGGAA